AUUGAACGCUGGCGGCAUGCUUUACACACGCAAGUCGGACGGCAGCACAGAGAAGCUUGCUUCUUGGGUGGCGAGUGGCGAACGGGUGAGUAACAUAUCGGAGCGUACCGAGUAGUGGGGGAUAACUGAUCGAAAGAUCAGCUAAUACCGCAUACGUCUUGAGAGGGAAAGCAGGGGACCUUCGGGCCUUGCGCUAUUCGAGCGGCCGAUAUCUGAUUAGCUAGUUGGUGGGGUAAAGGCCUACCAAGGCGACGAUCAGUAGCGGGUCUGAGAGGAUGAUCCGCCACACUGGGACUGAGACACGGCCCAGACUCCUACGGGAGGCAGCAGUGGGGAAUUUUGGACAAUGGGCGCAAGCCUGAUCCAGCCAUGCCGCGUGUCUGAAGAAGGCCUUCGGGUUGUAAAGGACUUUUGUCAGGGAAGAAAAGGCUGUUGCUAAUAUCAGCGGCUGAUGACGGUACCUGAAGAAUAAGCACCGGCUAACUACGUGC
rnacentral:rRNA from 1 species